CUUGCAAUACCUUAACAGUGCUGAAACCUGCAGCAUGGUACUAAGGAAGUUAAAGUUAGAAUGUAACCACUUUAUUUAAAAGGUUUUUUUCUUUAAUUUAAAUGAAAUGGGGUUGAAGUGAACAUGAUCUUGUUGACCAUGUUCGUGAAUUAUAGAUGCAACAUGCAUUGGUAGAAUCGUGUGAUGGUCUUUUGUGAUACUUAAUUUUUACAUAUCCCAGUCUCUGUAUGUAUCUGCACAAAGAAA
rnacentral:lncRNA from 1 species